GUAUGGACCAUGGAUGUAUUCAAACUGGGAAACGACCUAGCGAGCUAAUUAAGUGCAUGUCGCGCACUGCAUCUGUUUCUGUUUCAGUGGAGUUUGGAUAUUUGUUUUAAAUACUGCAGUUUGAAGAAUCCUCAGUCUAUCUUCUUCAGUUCCAGUGUUUGGGGGAUGACAGUUCUUUUCAACACAAAUCACCUGGAAAAAAGCCACAAGAGGAACCAUCUGCUGACCAGUGGAGCUAAUGUGCUGUGCAGAAGCUUGCAAAUGAGGAGGAGAGAAGACCAGACUGGAAUUAGAUACGAUCGAUUGCAAAGACAGGACAAGAUGGCUAAGGAAGAAUUAUGGUGUCCGGAGCAGGAGAUUUGCCAGAGCGUCAUUUGUUACCAGUGAGGAUUUACAGCAGAGCCAAGAAAGCAUUGCAGUAGAUGGAACUUGGAGUUUUACAGAAGGCGGGAAUAUUUUUGCUUUUGAUGUUAAUGAGCAAGGAGACUGAGUUAUUAGAGUUACAGUGUAUGCUUU